CCCUGUGGACAGUUGUCCGUGGGUUCACUACAGUAAAAGUAUCGCGACAUCGUUUUACUGGGAUGAAUAUCAUUCAGAACUGAUGCCGCAUUAUGCGUGGUUGAUAUUCGCCUUUAUAUGAAUUCAAAUGACAUUUCUGGGCUUGACAUUUCAAUAAAACGUUGAUUAAAGAGGUCAGCGACGUUUUAUUUUGGCACUGCUGAGUAGAAUGCCGCAUGCUACUCGGUGACUCUUGACACUUUGUUAAUCGGCUCCUGCACCGGCUCUUCUCCCAGCCAUUCUUUAUCCUUUUAUCUGUUUUCUGGCUGUGAAUCAGCAGAGGAUCUGUGCGCAGUUUUUACACGUCCCAGCAAUGACAGGAACCACGGUGAUGGAUCCUCUGGUCUCGUCUCAUUGACUGUCGUGAGCUCAUCCACAGCUUUCAGGCCCGGUUCCAAGAUCUCGGAUCUAUUUCCUUAUAUGAUGAUAAUGAUGGUCCGAUAAGGUGUAGUUUUGGAUUUUCUUUUUUUUUUUUUCUUCUUCUUUUUUUUCCAACAGUGAAGAGAAUACAAUCCCUGGUAUGAUGAAGAUUUGGAGCACUGAGCAUAUUUUCAGUUAUCCAUGGGAGACUGUGAUCAAGGCUGCCAUGAGGAAGUACCCCAACCCCAUGAACCCCAAUGUGGUUGGCGUAGAUGUGCUGGAUCGCAGUCUGGACUCAGAGGGACGCCUUCACAGCCACAGACUCCUCAGCACAGAGUGGGGGCUGCCAUCUAUUGUACGAGCGAUACUGGGGACCAACCACACACAGACAUACGUGAAGGAGCAUUCUAUAGUUGACCCAGAGGUGAAAAAGAUGGAGUUGUGCUCAACAAACAUUACUCUCACCAACCUGAUAUCCGUAGAUGAGAGGCUUGUUUACACACCACACCCAGAAAACCCAGAAGUGAGGAAAAUAAGAUGUGACAUCUGCCGAGAUGUCACGAUGACCAUGUUUGAUCCGUGCCUGCUCCUCAGUACUGUACUGACACAGGAAGCCAUCAUCACGGUGAAGGGAGUCAGUCUGAGCAGCUAUCUGGAGGGCCUGAUGGUCAGGAGCAUGUCUGCCAAUGCCCGGAAGGGCUGGGAUGCUAUUGAGUGGGUGAUUCAGAACUCUGAAGGGGACGACGUACCACUCUGUGACAUUUACUAACACCGGACUCCAGAUCCACUGACGACUGCUUUCCUCAGCUGCUCCUCGUACCUGGAAGGGCACGUGGGAUAUGGGGAGAUUCUCAACAUCUUCCGGACCUCUGCAGAUGGUUCUUUUGUCUGAAGAAAACUAAACCUUUGCCAAAGCAAAAACGGUUCUUGAAACUUUCUGGGACUGCGUUGCCAGGUUUGGCGGUUGUGACUCAUUUCUAGCUCCUUAUUUAUAAUCCAAUAACGGUUAAACCACAUGGCAACAACACAGAGACUUGUGUCAACUAAGCAAACCUAGCAGACUUUACAAUCUUGAAUGUCAAUAUUGUACUUAUGAAGUGACACUUUAAGAAAAAUACUCGAUAUAGAAGACGGACGCAACAAGGAGGCACACACCAAUGUUUUGUUUUUCUUAAACCAGGUACAGUGUAUUGUUAUUUUGCAGCUGUCCCAAAGGCUUUAUUUGGACUAGUUGAUACUAUGUGAAAACUCCUACAGUGGGAAACGGGUUAAAAUAUGGAGAUGUUACUGGUGCUUAUUUUGUGUUGCACUGGACAAAAAUGCUAUAUUACGGAUUGGGCAUGAUUUAUAUUUGCCGCAUCAGUUUCAGUCUUGGAUCGCCAUUAUUUUUCAUGUGUAACAUCAGCUUUAUAUGGCAGUCUUCAGCAACAUUAAGCAAUUCCUAGUAUUAAAGUGUAGCCACGCCAGUGUCAGUGUUUUGCUUCUGAUUAGCUUGAAUCAAGUUGUGACUGGAUAACAUGAGGCAAGUUCACUAAUAAGAUAGUGGCCGGAGGACUCCGUCUUUGUCUUAUCUAACUGUAUUUAUUCAAAAAGAAACUACUUCUUCAAAAUUGACACUCGACUGAAUUUUGCAGCUGCUCGGACAAUACAAUCGUUUUUCAUACUAAAUAAAUAUUAGAUAAGACACAAGAAGGACCCAUUUGGCCACAAUGAUAAAAAGUAGCCAAGAUGAUGCAUUCGUAACCGAAAACACUGCAAGCAGGGUGAUGGUACCAUCAUGCUGAGGGUCUUUGAAUUUUUCAACUACGUCUUGACACAACAGCCAAAUGUCCGAAUUGGGAACCGUUGAUUGUUCUGUUAAAGGUGGUUUUAAAAUGGCUGAAACAGCUUAGCACUAAGCACAAUUAAAAAAUGCACAGGAUGCAUUUAAAAGCUAACUCUGUCUCAGAAAAUCCACCAGUUUGAGUGGUCAAAUAUUCAUCCUGAAUAAUAAAUUUAACGCUUAUUGAUUAUAAUCAAGUUGAAAGGCAUGCUAUUUUAAGAUCACCUUUGUAGGGUCGUACCAAUACAGCUUAGAUUAUGCACCAUCCCAGGGGAAAUAUGUGGUCAUCCAGGACUGAAACCAACAUGGAAAGUACAAAUCUUGCACGGUUUUGCAAAACAUGAAGCACUUUGGAGAAAAAAAAUAUGAUGGAUCUAAAAAAUGAUAAAAAAAAAAAAAAACCCAAUAUGAAUGAAAUACUAGACUGUACCAUCAAUAUUGCCUUCAUCUGAUAUUUAACACCAGUGAGCGUUUUGGAAACUUACCAAGAACAGAUGAAGAGGAAGAGGAAGACACGGUGGUGUUCAAGGUGGGCAAAUGUUCGCAGUUAUCUGGCCUUAAAGCGACGCCAGUGUUUUGGUUUCAUGCCUUUGCCAGUCAUACACCUCAUGCUUAUCCAUAGAUGCAACCUGCGUAUCUUGGAGACCAGCAGCAGUAUUGUAUGUGCGGUGAUGCACACUGUGACUAAUGUGCUAAAACAUGUUUCUGGAUGGCAGUAAAUAUCACAUAUUUGUAUAAAUGAUAUUUUAAAAAUGCAUUUAGUGAAUGCUACUGCUUUCAUUUUGUGUUGCAUAGAAAAAAAAAAUUGUACACUUUUCUGUUUUGAAGCGCAACUUUUGCCUGGCUGCAAUAAAAGAGAUGCUAAAAUAAUUAAAGCAGAAGUGAAAACGA